rnacentral:rRNA from 1 species
GCCUGCAUGAAGCUGGAAUUGCUAGUAAUCGCGGAUCAGCAAGCCGCGGUGAAUACGUUCCCGGGCCUUGUACACACCGCCCGUCACACCAUGAGAGUCGGGAACACCCGAAGUCCGUAGUCUAACCGCAAGGGGGCGCGGCCGAAGGUGGGUCCGGUAAUUGGGUGAAGUCGUAACAAGGUAGC